AUUGAACGCUGGCGGCAGGCCUAACACAUGCAAGUCGAACGAGUGGCGGACGGGUGAGUAAUGUCUGGGAAACUGCCCGAUGGAGGGGGAUAACUACUGGAAACGGUAGCUAAUACCGCGUACCAUCGGAUGUGCCCAGAUGGGAUUAGCUUGUAGGUGAGGUAACGGCUCACCUAGGCGACGAUCCCUAGCUUGUCUGAGAGGAUGACCAGCGGCACUGGAACUAGGGCACAGUCCAGACUCCCACGGGGGGCAGCAGUGGGGAAUAUGGCACAGUGGGAGCAAGGCUGCUGCAGCCGUGGCGGGGGUAUGAAGAAGGCCUUCAGGUUGUAAAGUACUUUCAGCGGGGAGGCGUUGCGCGCGGAAGAAGCACCUGCUAACUCCGGGCCAACAGCCGCGGUAAUGC
rnacentral:rRNA from 1 species